UCAUCAGACCAUGAAGUUGAACGUGUCCUAUCUCAUCUGAUCUCAGAAGCUAAGCAGGGUGAAGCCUGGUUAGGACUUGGAUGUGAGAAACCAUGAAGUCCAAAAGCCAUGGGAUGAC
rnacentral:rRNA from 1 species